GCCGAUUUUUUUGUUUAGGGUUUUUUAGGUUUAAGGUUUUUAGGGUUUGGUUAGUUCUAAGGUUUAAAGUUUAGGUGUUUGGGGGGUUUUGUGAUUUUAUGACUUUUGGUUUCUAGGGUUUUGAGGGCUUAUGUUUUUUUUAGUUUUUAAGGUUUUUUAUAGGUUAAGGGAUUUUUCUGGUUUAAGGUUUUUACGAGUUUUUAUAGGUUUUAUGGUUUGAGGUAGACAUUGUGAAAGCUUAAAGGUAGAUUUGAGUUGUCGAGGAUGCAAUAUCACUUGGAGACACACACAUUUCAU
rnacentral:lncRNA from 1 species